UGUAAACCUUCUACAGAAGAGUUAGGGAACAACAUGGUUGAGAAUAGCACAGGUCAGAGGAUCAUUUGAACUUGGGAGUUCUGAGCUGUGGCACAAUGACAGUUGCUUGGGUGUACUAAUUAAGGAUGCCAUGCCAUGAGGCGUUGAGAUAGGGAUGUGAGUGGCUACUGUACUUCCAGCAUGGAUUGGAUAGGGAGAUUGUCUUAAAAAAAGAAAGUAAAAAAGAGAAAGGAAGGAAGGGAAGGAGGGAGGAAAGAAUGAAGGAAAGAAAGGGAGAGAAAUAAAGUUGAUACUUAAGAUAAGUAAGGUACUGUAAUGGAAAGAGUCCUGGGGGCAGCUAGGAGUGUGGAAAGAGAGACUAGCAAGUGCUGGACUUUCUGCCACUGAGUUGGAACAAACAGCUUUUGGAGUGCUAGAGAGAAGAUAUUGACAAGACUGACAGUUGGUGGGGGAAGGGGCAACUGGUAGUGGCAGUUUGUCUUGUGACUAGCACUUGCUUCCUGGCCCUAGAACUGGAAGGAGCCUCUCUACCUGUAUCUGGAUAGAAGUGCCUCUAUUCCUGAAUUUCCCAACUGUGUGCUCUACCUGGAUCCCUGUGAUUGUGUUUAUUGUACAAAAGGACUUAAAGGAAGCAGUUUGGACUCUAAGACCGGUCUUUAGGGGCAUCAGCCUUAAGAGACAGGCCCAACCAGCUCUUAAGGGUUUUAAUGUUUCUGAGAGAGUCUGGAACCUGAGAUGCGGGACAAGGAAUGGGUGGCAAUCUCUGUUAUGUGCCACUUAUGUGUCUGGGGGGAAGAGCCUAGAUUAAGUUCUAAGGAUUCGGUGAGUAGAUGAAUAAACCCAAAGGUCCUUAAGGAGCA
rnacentral:lncRNA from 1 species